rnacentral:rRNA from 1 species
AUUGAACGCUGGCGGCAGGCCUAACACAUGCAAGUCGAACGCGUGGCGGACGGGUGAGUAAUGUCUGGGAAACUGCCCGAUGGAGGGGGAUAACUACUGGAAACGGUACUUAUUACCGCAUACCAUCGGAUGUGCCCAGAUGGGAUUAGCUAGUAGGUGGGGUAACGGCUCACCUAGGCGACGAUCCCUAGCUGGUCUGAGAGGGUGACCAGCCACACUGGAACUGAGACACGGUCCAGACUCCUACGGGAGGCAGCAGUGGGGAAUAUUGCACAAUGGGCGCAAGCCUGAUGCAGCCAUGCCGCGUGUAUGAAGAAGGCCUUCGGGUUGUAAAGUACUUUCAGCGAGGAGGCGUUACUCGCAGAAGAAGCACCGGCUAACUCCGUGCCAGCCGCCGCGGUAAUUC